AACGAACGCUGGCGGCAUGCCUAACACAUGCAAGUCGAACGAGACCUUCGGGUCUAGUGGCGCACGGGUGCGUAACGCGUGGGAACCUGCCCUUAGGUUCGGAAUAACUCCCCGAAAGGGGUGCUAAUACCGGAUAAUGUCUUCGGACCAAAGAUUUAUCGCCUUUGGAUGGGCCCGCGUUGGAUUAGCUAGUUGGUAGGGUAAAAGCCUACCAAGGCGACGAUCCAUAGCUGGUCUGAGAGGAUGAUCAGCCACACUGGGACUGAGACACGGCCCAGACUCCUACGGGAGGCAGCAGUGGGGAAUAUUGGACAAUGGGCGAAAGCCUGAUCCAGCAAUGCCGCGUGAGUGAUGAAGGCCUUAGGGUUGUAAAGCUCUUUUACCCGGGAUGAUAAUGACAGUACCGGGAGAAUAAGCGCAGGCUAACUCCGUG
rnacentral:rRNA from 1 species